ACAUGUUGCCCUUUUUUCUGGGGGCACUGCCAGGAGGAAUCAGAUUGGCAGAAGCACCAUGGGUAGCAGCUGUUCCAGACAGUAAGACCAAAAGAGGAAGUGGUAGGCAGGGGAGGAGAGGCCGGAGGAAGCUCCCUGCUCUGGAGGAUUCCCUGGCUGCUGGUUACAAAGAAAGGUGAUUCUUUUGUGCAACAGCCUAAACACAAACUUUUGAGAUGAAGCAAACACUUGGAGCCAUUGUGGACUUUGGAAAGAAUGCAAAAUGUGGGUAAUUAUUUGGGGGCAAGCAGAGAAUGAUUGAAAAAUCAAUGGAUACAUACUUCAGAUCGCAGAAACGAUGACAUGUCAAAAUGUCACAAGGGAUGAAGAGGUAAUGAUAGAGUUCGGAAGAAAAUGGAUAAAGUCUCCCUUUGACUAUAGCACUUGCCCGGUUGAAAACAUGAAAGUUACUCACUGAACAGCCUUUUACUUUCUGAAAGUCUUCAACAAUUAUUGUGACUUGAUGUAUCUCUUUCUCUUGUUCUUAACA